UAAGUGGUGGAAAUUAAACCAACUGGGAUCUCUUCAGUAAUUGCGCAUGAACCAGGAUAUGCUUAGCUUGACAAAUGGAGCUGCUGGCUCUGAAUUGUAUUGUGGGAAUGUAUUACCAACAGAGGUGCAGGUGUCAGCCAUUUGAAAGAAAGCAUCAAUGAGGGUGAGAGUCCUGUUUGUCAUGUGCAGCCUUCUGUGCACGGUGUAUAUUUGCUGAGUCACACUCCUCGGCAUUGGAAUGCAAAGUGGGUGGUAAGUUUCAUGCAAAGGUAAAUAUGCAAUUGAGACUGAUAGCGCACAAGUACCAUGAGGGACAUAUGAAAAGGACUUUGAACAGAGAAUUAAAUGAGUUUGUAUUUGCUAAACACAAAGUAAACAGACUUGAUUUCCUCAGUGAGAUUGUAGUGCUUGCUUGACAAUGGGUUUUGGCUGCAAGUGCAAUAAUUCUUGCUUUGUGUGCCAGUUUUUAUGUGGACAUUUGAUUACCUUGGCACAUGAAUGGUAAUUUUCCUGCGGGGUGUGGAUUGCAUAUGCAUGUAAUGAUUUGCAUGUUUGUUAAAUGUGUCUGGUGUAUUUGUUUGUGUCCUUGUCCUGGAGGUUGCUUUCUCCCUUGGGCUUACAUGCCCUGGCACACACAUUCUGGCAAAAUGCUUCUGCUUGACCCG
rnacentral:rRNA from 1 species